rnacentral:tRNA from 1 species
GCCCGUCAGGUUCAGGUGGUGGAGCGCUCGGUUGAAGCCCGAGAGGUUCCCGGUUCGACCCCGGGGGGCA